rnacentral:rRNA from 1 species
GACGAACGCUGGCGGCGUGCUUAACACAUGCCAGUCGAACGGAAAGGCCCUGCUUUUGUGGGGUGCUCGAGUGGCGAACGGGUGAGUAACACGUGAGUAACCUGCCCUUGACUUUGGGAUAACUUCAGGAAACUGGGGCUAAUACCGGAUAGGAGCUCCUGCUGCAUGGUGGGGGUUGGAAAGUUUCGGCGGUUGGGGAUGGACUCGCGGCUUAUCAGCUUGUUGGUGGGGUAGGGGCUUACCAAGGCUUUGACGGGUAGCCGGCCUGAGAGGGUGGCCGGCCACAUUGGGACUGAGAUACGGCGCAGACUCCUACGGGAGGCAGCAGUGGGGAACAUUGCACAGUGGGCGGAAGCCUGAUGCAGAAACGCCGCGUGCGGGAUGCCGGCCUUCGGGUUGUAAACCGCUUUCGCAUGUGACGAAGCGUGAGUGACGGUAAUGGGUCAAGAAGCAACGGCUAACUACGUG